UGGGGAAUAUUGCACAAUGGGCGCAAGCCUGAUGCAGCCAUGCCGCGUGUAUGAAGAAGGCCUUCGGGUUGUAAAGUACUUUCAGCGGGGAGGAAGGCGAUAAGGUUAAUAACCUUGUCGAUUGACGUUACCCGCAGAAGAAGCACCGGCUAACUCCGUGCCAGCAGCCGCGGUAAUACGGAGGGUGCAAGCGUUAAUCGGAAUUACUGGGCGUAAAGCGCACGCAGGCGGUCUGUCAAGUCGGAUGUGAAAUCCCCGGGCUCAACCUGGGAACUGCAUUCGAAACUGGCAGGCUAGAGUCUGGUAGAGGGGGGUAGAAUUCCAGUUGUAGCGGUGAAAUGCGUAGAGAUCUGGAGGAAUACCGGUGGCGAAGGCGGCCCCCUGGACAAAGACUGACGCUCAGGUGCGAAAGCGUGGGUAGCAAACA
rnacentral:rRNA from 1 species